CUCAGAUAUUGAUGAAGUCCGAAAGAAGUUCGGAGAAUAGUUGAUCACUGUAGAAGGUCGGCUGAUAGUGAGGCCUAGAGAGCCUUUGGAGCGGCCCGAUAGAUGGAUGGAGAAGCUCAUUGUCGGAGAAGUCAGGAUGGUAUUAUAGAAGCUCGGACGGUCGAGGGGGUUCAGAGAGACGCCACACAAGGUCGGAAGUCAAAAAUUCCUGAAAGGGUCGGUCCUUUACAAACUUCGACUGGGGGUAUUUUAUACCCAACAUCAGUCUCCCUACUUUCGAGUUUGGAUUUCGAAAGAAGAAAGUACAGAGGAAUUCUCACAGUCGAAGUGUCCCUCCUCGAUUUUUGCACUCGGUGGUUACCAGAUACGGCGUUUGGCACGCUGGUGCCGGAGUCUUUUCAAAUCAAAGCGAUCUGAAAAGAUUUUUUCGAAAUUUUCACUGGGACGUGGCUCUAGGUAUGGCGCAAUAAUGACUUUGUCAGCUGUUAGCCAUUUUCAGUAGCCUGUCAUACUGAGUGGGACAUGCGGCAAGUGUAGGUCAGCCAGAGGAGAUCCACGAUCAUAACUGCUCCGAGUCCUGUUGCCUAUUUAAACACGUCCUCCUCCUUCAGGGGUUUCACUAUGCCUGAGAGAGUCCCUCGAUUUCCACCUCUUCCCCGAGAGCUCCAGCCUCCUUUAGCAUCCUUCUCGACCUUAGGCAUCCUCUGAGUCGACUUCCAUCAUCCUUGCCAUCUUCCUGCACUCCUCGAGCCAACCUAGGUUAGUUCCGGAACUUCUUACCAUUUUUCUGUUCUUUCUUCUUUGUAUUCCAUUCAUUUAGCUCCUUCGAGAGCUUGUUCGCUAUUUUUCUCGAUUUUUUUUUCAAAAUUUUUGUGGCUUCUAUUUGAUCCAAAAUGUCUUCCGAUAUCUCCUCUUCUAGCGGUUCUAGGAGUUCGUCAGCCUCAGUUUUUCAGAGUCCUUGUACUAUAGACGGACCCGUAGCCAGGACCGAACCUCGUCUGGUCUUUGUGCCGGACACCAUCUCCAGCUCUUUGACUCCGAAUGAACUCUCAUUGAUAAUGAUUCAGUAUGGAGUUCCUCCGGAGUACGAGCUGAAGCUUCUCGGGCCAACUGACCGGGCUAGCGUCCCUCCUCCUGGCCGCUUCUGUCUGUAUCAGGAGGCCUUCCGUGUUGGACUUCAGCUUCUACUUCCGUCUUUUGUCAUCGCCUUCUUUCAUUUUCUGAAUAUUUUUCUAGUCUCAGUAGCACUGAACUCCUUUAGAUUUUUGAUAGGAUUUCUUUCUCUUUGUAGAUUUUUGAUAGGAGUAAACCGCUCGUAGUAGAAGUUCAGAGUAGACCGCUCGUAGUAGAAGUUCGGAGUAGACCGCUCAUAGUAGAAGUUCGACUCUCGCAGGAGCUCGGUUGGAAUACUAAAGGCGGUCGAUCACCGUAGAAACUUGGAUGGGGUCUGAUUACUGUAGAAAUCUUGUUGUCGGAGAAGCUCGGAUAUUGAUGAAGUCCGAAAGAAGUUCGGAGAAUAGUUGAUCACUAUAGAAGAUUGGCUGAUAGUGAGGCCCAGAGAGCCUUUGGAGCGGCCCGAUAGAUGGAUGGAGAAGCUUAUUGUCGGAGAAGUCCGGAUGGUAUUAUGAAAGCUCGGACGGUCGAGGGGGUUCAGAGAGACGCCACACAAGGUCGGAAGUCGGAAAAGUCCUGAAAGGGUCGGUCCUUUACAAACUUCGGCUGGGGGUAUUUUAUACCCAACACUAGUCUCCCUCCUUCCGAGUUCAGGUUCCGAAAGAAAGACGUACAGAG
rnacentral:lncRNA from 1 species